UUUACUUGACAAAGGCUCUCAAAACAACCAUCUUGAAAAUGACCAGAUUAUGCAGCUUUCUUGAAUUGAUGAUGAUGUACUUAAAUCUUAUCAGAUCGUCUCCGUAUUAGUGGCACCUGAUGUUUCAACUCUGGAUGAAGUCUACACUCCACUGUUUUUAAGCAUCUAUAUUCAGAGCUCCCUCCCAUUUCAACGAUAUGAAGAGAAGUUCAUCAUUGAAGUCUUUUUGGACAUCAGAGAGAGAAUGGGACAUUGUGAAUCACGGCCUGCAAGGAUCGAAGUCUAUGCCCAGUCACUGUACAGUGAAGAGGACAUUUUCAGGAAUCCUUCAGCUUCCCCGGCUAUCCUGCCGAUACUCUGCUAAAGGAGAUCCAGAGAAUUUUCUCAACAAAGCACCU